GUACUGCUGAAGAGUCCCAAACUAGGAUGAAACAGCUGUCCAGUAU
rnacentral:hammerhead_ribozyme from 1 species